AUCUGCCGCCGGUGUUCACGACGAUACGCACUGACCAUGGCCGCAGCGACUGCGAGCAUUGGAGCUCUGUGGAGCCUAAGAAGAGCAACUCUAUCUUCCAGUUUCCGAACUCCCCUUGCUGUUAAUCUCAGCAAGGUCUCAUUCCACGAGGCCCGGUUUCCCUCUUCUCCAUCUUCUCCUCUUGGCGCCUCAGGAAUGUGCCAAUUAGUGCAAGCUGUAAAGGGAGACAUUGAUGUUUUACUCAAUGGAGUUGGAGAUAAAGGUGUUAUUGUAGAUGUGAAACAUAUUCUUGUUAUGGCCAAACGUUCGUUAUCAAGACGAGAAGUUCUCCAUACAAACUUUCUCACUCCACCUGUGGUGAAAGAGUCGAUGCUAGCCAUUCAAAAACUAGCUGACGUGAAAGCAAUAGCGCAGGGAGGAUAUCCAGAGGCAGAGCGCUGUCGGAUUUCUGUUGGGCAUGCUGAUGAACUAACAAGUGAUCCAGACAUCGUUUCGGCAUUGAGUAUCACAGGAAAUUUUGUGUUUCACACCUGCACACAUGGGGACUUCCUUGGAGCAAUUCUUGGCACAGGCAUUGCUAGGGAAAAGCUUGGUGAUAUCAUACUCCAGGAAGAGAAGGGAGCUCAAGUAGUUAUUGUUCCAGAACUCGUCGACUUCCUUGUAUCAUCACUGCGCAAGGUUGGCAAUGUCACGGUUUCUUGUACGAGGAUUCCGUUGACAGAUCUCGAUUAUGAACCACCGAAGACUAAGACAUUUAAAACCAUUGAGGCAUCUCUUAGGGUUGAUGCUCUAGCAAGUGCUGGAUUCAAGAUUUCACGGUCUAAACUAGUGGAUUUCAUCAGUGGCGGUGAUGUACGUGUCAAUUGGACGACGAUUACUAAAAAUGGAACCAUACUAAAGACUGGUGAUAUUGUUUCUGUUAGUGGGAAAGGGAGACUAAAGAUUGGCGAAAUAAAUCCUACCAAGAAGGGAAAAUUCGCCAUCGAGCUUAUCAAGUACGUGUAAGCUCUGGCGUAUUGGAUCGUUCGGAGUUGAACUGGGUAAAGAUUGUCAGAAUCUCCCUCGAGGUCGAACAUCAAGGAAGCAUGAGAAUAAUUAAAGUAGUGAUUUGAACACAGUUGAAUAGUUGUUCAAAGGAGUACCUAAUGAUCCAAACUGAAAUUUGAUGCUGAAAUGGUGUAUGGAGUGUCUGUUAUUUGCUUUACUUCCAGUACUUGAAAAGUGAAUAACUGGCAUUUUAGACUUAAAAGAACAGAGGGGAAACUUGCUGAGUGAACAGUUUCUUAGGGUUAAGUUUGGCAGAAAUUGUCCGUUUUGACAUGUUACGAAUUCCAUGAGUCUCACAGUUUUAAAACAUGUCUAUCUCACAGUUUUAAAACAUGUCUGUUAGAGAGAAGUUUCCACACCCUUAAAAGGAAUGUUUCAUUCCCCUCUCCAACCGAUGAGUUUUCACAAUUCACCUUCUUGGAGGCCAGCGUUGAAACACUGCCGGAUGUUUGGCUUUGAUAUCAUUUGUAACAACUUAAGCCCACUGCUAACAAA